GUAUGAAACCAAUGUGAUGUCAAGUCUUGGCCGUCGCCUUCAUUAUCGCUAAUGUGACCACGCCCACGCGCCGAUCGCGCUUUUGUUAUUACAAUAGUCCACGUGAAACACGCGCAUGUAAACGCCCACAUCACAGCAAACACAGCAGCCAGACUUUCCCUCAAGUUCAUCUCGGCUACUUCGCUUCUGGAAGAAGACGCGCUGAGAGAAAUAAGCUUUGGAUUUUCCUCAGAAGAACGCGCCGGCGUGAUAUUCAGUGGAGGAUAUAGACUGUGGCUGCAUCACUCGCAUAAUUGCACAAGAAAGGCACACGUGUCGUUCAGUUUUGAGUUCGCUGGAAAAUCAUACUGAGACCGAAUACACCACUCUUGCCUUCACCUGCAUCUCUCACAGUAAGGGGACGCUCGUUCAGUUUUCAACUCCAUUCAGAAUCUUAGAAUGUGAGAAUAACAGUGUAAAAGAACCUGUUGCAAA